GAAGAAGAGAGUUCUGUCCUGCUCCUGAAUUCCUCGUCCACAGCAUAGCCUGUGGUUUCAGCUCACCAUCCCCACCAUGACUAUGUGGAAGGCCAGCGCAGAUGCAGAAGGCAGCGCCAACCCUGGCAUCUCAGCAGCCCUGACCCCUACCUCGUGCCAAGUUUGUAUUUAACCCUGUUACCUACCUGGAUUGGCCAAUGGGCGUGGGGAGGAGUAGGACACUAUUAGUCACUCGGUCGUGUCUGACUCUUUGCAACCCCAUGGACUGUAGCCCACCAGGCUCCUCUGUCCAUGGAAUUCUCCAGGCAAGAAUCCUGGAGUGGGUAGCUAUUCCUUUCUCCAGGGGAUCUUCCCGACCCAGGGAUGGAACCCAGGUCUCAUCGUGUCUCCUGCAUUGGCAGGAGAGUUCUUUACCACUAGUGCCACCCGGAAGAAUGAUUUUACCACCUGAGCCACCAGCUGAAUGGAAAAACAAGAAUGCCCCGAGUUGGAUCAGAGCAAAGAGAAGAUUGAAAACUGGAGACUAUUUAGAAAACAAGAAGUGGGCAGGAAACAAGAGCCCUGGGGAAGCAAAGAGGAGCAUGCAAAAAAGAAAGGGCAGAAGUCAGGGCCAGGACCGAGGCUGGUGGGCCUGCCAAUUGUCUCAGACCCGUUAUCACUACUUGGCAGAAGUUGCGAUUCCUCCUUCUACGAGGUCACCUGUGGUGGGUGAGUGUGAGUGCAUUGGGCUUAUGUGUGUGUACGUGUGUGUGUGUGCAAUACAGUCAGUGAAACAUUAGAUACAAUCUUUGAACUUUUUGAUUGAAGAGAGUAUAUUUAUUAUAAUUUUAUGGAGAAAAAUCCCUACUUUCAUAGAAGACCCUUAUGUACUAUUUUUCUGUUUCUUUUUCCUGGAGAUUCUGGGGCAAGACUAAAGAUGUGUGCUUUCUUAGUUGUAUGGGUCCCCCGCUACCGCACUCUCCUAAGAGCUGAAUUUUGCGUUAGCUAUUCUUCCUUCCAGCCAGCCUCCUGCUCUCCUCUCUUUCCCUCCUCAUCUUCUGAGAUGGUUUCAGUGCAGCCAGGGAACUUCUGUUUUGUGCUUUAUCCCUGUGUCUUUCUCUGAUUCUCAAGGUUUGGGGAUUAUCUUUAAUUACUUCACCUUUAAUUCCUCCACAAUAAUUCCCAGGCUCUCAUGUGUUUCUCUAGUAUUUGAUGAAAUCCAGGUCACCAUGCAGAAAAUAUUGAGCAUAAAGGAAGAAGUCCCAGGAGGCAAAAUCUGAGACCGGAAGGUGGGAUUUGGAGCAGCCAAAAGGCCAGCAGGCGAGUUCAACCGGAUGGCUGGUCAUUUCCUUUCCUUAAAAUUUACUUUAGGAUCUCCAGCCUGACCAGCUGAGUUAGGAGAAGCUGGGGAGGAAGGACACUGACCCGGGGUCAGGCAACAGGGUGGCGGCCCGCCAGUGGGUGGGGGCCCAGCCAGUGGGAGCCCCAGGAAACCGCCUAGGCCUUGUCUUCACAUCUAUAAUGGAGGGCCUCUUUCUGCCAAGUUUCAACCUUGAACAUAGGAGAUGGCUGCGAAGGAGCUGAGUGUGGAUGGAAGGUAGAGUGUGUGUGGGUGUGAGAGUGUGCUUAUGUUUUUGUGUGAGUGUGUGAGAGCAAGUGUGGAGGGAGUAAGUGUGCUGUGUGCACAUGUGAGCGUGCGGGUGUUGGAGUGCAUAUCUGUAAGAGAAAGUGUGUGUGUGAGAGUGUGUAUAUAUGUGAAAGAGACUUGUGUGAAUGUGAGUGUGUGCAUGUGAGCAUUUAAGAGUGUACUAGUGUGUGAAAGUGUGUGUAUGUGCAUGGGUAUAAGUGUGAGUUAUGAAUAUAUGUGUUUGAGUGUAUGGGGAAGUGUUUGCAUUUGAUUGUAGGAGUGCAUGAGUGUGUAUAUGUAUUUAGUGUGUGGUGUGUGUUAGUGUAAGAAUGUGUAUGUGUAUGAGUGUGCUUGUCAAAUAGUGUAUCAAAGAAUGUGUGUGCAUGUGUGAAGACAGCAUGUGAGACAUUGUGUAAGUGCAUAAGUGCAUGUAUAUGUGUGUGUGCAUGUGACUGUGUGUAGAAAGAGAUGUUUAAAAAUGCAAAGACUAUUUUUAAAAAGGACAUAACUGAAGUACCAUUAUCAUACUAAAAACCGUAGCAAUAAUUCCUUAAUAUCAUCAACAUCUAGUCAGUGUUCAAAGCUUUCCAACUGUCUCAUAAAUGGUAUUUUUUUUUUUUUACAGUUUGUUGAAUCAAAAUCCAAAUGAGGCUCUACAUUGCUAAUUUAAAGAUCUCUCAUUCUUUCUCUGCAUUUUGUUUGUUGAAUCAACAGCUCUUUCAUUCCCUAGAGUUUCUCUCAGUUUAAAUUUUGCUUUCUUUUAGAUUUUGCAUCUGGAAGUUGUCAUUUAUCAUGUUCUUCCAUCCCAUGUGCUUUCUACAAAUUGGUAGUUGGACUUAGAGGGUUUAUCUUCUUCAGGUUUAAACAUCUGUCUUGAAUAACUCAUAGUGGAUGUGUCCUCCUGGCAGAAGACACAUCCUGUCUGUCUAUGUCUUUGUUGGAAGGUUUUAGAAGACCUUGAGAAUCAAUACCUAGAGGAAUAGCUCUCUUGGUGACCUGACACACACUUGAGAUAAAAUCACCACUGUUUCCAUGUGUUUAGGGGUUGACAGAGCAAGUGGCCUGCAACUGUCUUCUAGUGGGAACUUCAGUGCCAACAGGAGGGUCUCCAGCCCAUAGCCAUGCUGGGCAGGGCUCAUGGCACGAAGAUGUAUCUUCUCCCCAUCAUUCCUUCCUAUAGCUCAGCCUUGCUCCCAGAUGCCAAGAGAUAAUGGUGUGGGCUCUUUGCCCCUUGAGGGCUGUCCUGGUGGCUCAAAGCUGGGUGUGUCCUGUCUUUGGAUGACUUCUCUUCAGAAGAACAGGGGAUUCUCUUUAUUUCAACACACUGUGUUAUUCAGAUGCUUAGCUUUGUCACUGCCCAGAUUCUCUGUGCUAAAAUCUUAUGAGUCUCCUUAGCUGGGGAGAAAUGGCUCUAUAACCUGUGGGCUGAAGCUGGGUCAGUCAAGGACAAAGUGGCCAGACAAGUCCCACGGGACCAUCUCUUGAAUGUUUUCUGGAGAAAGAAAAGAAAUGAGGAUGGGUGGAAACUGCAUGUGUCACACUGAGGGGCAGCUGAGGGGUGGAGGCAGCAGGGAGACAAUUAUCUUGAAGUCUUCGGAGCUGAUUUUCUUGUGUGUGGGAAAAACGCAACAAGAGGGGCCUGCAGGACAACACUUCAAUUAGCAACUGAGGGGCACGACCCAUGUGUGUCCUGAGGUAGAUCAAGUCUGACAUGGACUCUGUGGGGCCUCCUCCCCUGACUUCUGUCUCUCCUAUUGUCACGUGGAUACUGCAGAUGAAAUGCCUGGACACAGGAGGGCUUCCUCAGGACCUGGGUAGAGAGACUGUAGCCUGCUACUGAUCUCAAGAUGAUUGGUUAAUUGUAUGUGGGUUGAUGGCUGGGGAGACCCAGGACUCAGUGGUUCUGGAUGACAGAGGUGAUUCUAAAAAUCGGGAGGGAGCCAACAGUGGGAAGGGGAUGGUGAAGAGAACAGAAUAUUUGCUGCAAGGUACACGAGAUAACUCCUCUUUGUUUUUCCCCCCAAAAUACUUCGCCAGUGGCUCAGUGGGUAAAGAAUCUGCCUGCAAUGCAGGAGACACAGAAGAUGCAGGUUCGAUAACUUUGUUGGGAAGAUGCCCUGGAGGAGGAAGAUGGCAACCCACUCCAAUAUUCUUGCCUGAAAAAUCCCAUGGACAGAGAAACCUGGUGGGCUACAGUCCAUGGGGUCACAAAGAGUCAGACAUGACUUAGCAACUGAGCACACAACAAAAUGCUCAGAGAAGCCCGCAUACCUGCUAAUCACUAUGGGGCUGGCUCACUGUUAUUCUGAGGAUGAGAGCCCUGGAGCUGGAUUUACAGUGAGGGUGGGCAGGGUUGAGGAGGCAGCUAGCUGUGUGGUCACAAACGGCCACCAACAAGGAACAAUUACAGCCACCAACAAGGAACAAUGCAUCUUCCACAUGGAUGACUUUCGCUUCCAUCCACAGUUGUUUCACAGGGGGAUGCCUGCCCAGGGGAGCCUAAUUCGGGAUUCCUAGCACUUGUGUGUUUUUGUGUCAUCCAAAUUAGUCUUGGGGAACAAAAUGAUGACUGUGAAUGCAGUUGACAUCUCUGCUGACACAACAGAUAAUGGCUUGAAUGGUGAAAAUUCCAAGCUAGGUCUGUGACCAGGCUCUUUAACAAUGAAAAGAUAGCUCUCGGGUUUGGAAAUGGGUUGAAUGGUCAACUCUCUGAUCAAUGGUGAAUGAAUGAGAGACAGUGGGUGACCUUAUCAUACUAUUUCUGUCUUUACUUUUCCUUCAUUCUUUUUUCUUUCUCUUUCAAACAGGAGAUUUGAUGUGCUUGAUAGUUUAAUAAAAGAAGAAAACCAGGGAUGGCUUGAAAGUGGCCACGCUCAAGUCACAUCUCAGUCCUGCCCCGCUUUUGUCCCCUUUCAGCUCUUUUUCUCAGUUUGGAAGAGGUCUUUGAGAGGGGCUUUUACAGAUACAAGUGAAAGCAGAUGGCCCCAUGUUUGCCACUUUCUGCACUGACCUGUCAGAGGCUCCAGCUCUGAGCCUCUGGGUGACUCAGGAGAGAGGGCAGGGCUGCCCUGUUGCCUCUGACUCUGACCUCUUCCCACACAGAAGAGACAGCAAGUUACUGGCUGGGGAAACAGCAGUGGUGGGAGAAGUUUCCCAGUCCAUAGGGAGUGGGUAGGGAUUCUGUUUUAAUCACCUCCUUCCACCCCCUUUGAUGAGAGAGGGUUUCCACCCUAGUAGUAGGAGGGUGACCAGACAUAGCCCUCCAUCCUGGAAGUGAGAUGGACAGUCGUUAUUAGUCACACAUACUCCCAGGCGGGGGAGGACGACUCUACACGCCACCCAGGGACACACGGGGAUGUACUGGGGACCAGAGUGAACCAGCAGGGCUGCAGGAGGCAGGGUUUGUAGCAACAAGAGGGAAGCUGCCCCUGGUUCCAGUGGGAGGUUGUGAUCAGCUUGCUUGAAUGAUUCUGCAGUUUGGCAGGAACCAAAACCUGCUUCAGUUCAGUCGCUCAGUUGUGUCCGACUCUUUGUGACCCCAUGGACUGCAGCAUGUCAGGCCUCCCUGUCCAUCACCAACUCCCGGAGUUUACUCAAACUCAUGUCUGUUGAGUUGGUGAUGCCAUCCAACCAUCUCAUCCUCUCCUCUCGCCCUCAAUCUUUCCCAGCAUCAGAGUCUUUUCAAAUGAGUCAGCUCUACACAUCAGGUGGCCAAAGGAUUGGAAUUUCAGCUUCAACAUCAGUCCUUCCAAUGAAUAUUCAGGACUGAUUUCCUUUAGGAUGGACUGGUUGGAUCUCCUUGCAGUCCAAGGGACUCUCAAGAGUCUUCUCCAACACCACAGUUCAAAAGC
ensembl:lincRNA